ACCUGGAUAACAUGGUUGUUAGAGCAUGAGACUCUUAAUCUCAAGGGCAUGGGUUUGAGCCCCAUGCUGGGCA